AAAUCGCAGUGAAGAUGCUGUGUACCCGCGGCUAGACGGAAAGACCCCGUGAACCUUUACUACAGCUUGGCACUGAACAUUGAACCUACAUGUGUAGGAUAGGUGGGAGACUUAGAAGCACAGUCGCUAGAUUGUGUGGAGUCAACCUUGAAAUACCACCCUUGUAGUUUUGAUGUUCUAACGUAGGUCCCUAAUCGGGAUUGCGGACAGUGCCUGGUGGGUAGUUUGACUGGGGCGGUCUCCUCCCAAAGAGUAACGGAGGAGCACGAAGGUUGGCUAAGUACGGUCGGACAUCGUACGGUUAGUGUAAUGGUAGAAGCCAGCUUAACUGCGAGACAGACACGUCGAGCAGGUACGAAAGUAGGUCAUAGUGAUCCGGUGGUUC
rnacentral:rRNA from 1 species